rnacentral:rRNA from 1 species
AUGGCUGGAUUCCCGUUUUUAGCCGGUAGUCACCUGCUUCUGAUGAAAUCGUCCCGUCAACGCGACCAAUCUCGCUCUGCUCCGUUGUUGCAGCCGCCGGGAACUGCAGCGAUCCAGGGGGACCGUUCCUUCCGCGGGAUGGAAGAAGGCCGGCGACCACGGCGGACCGCCGCCCAGAUAAAAUUUUGGUCAAUCUUCAUCAGGGGUUUUACACUCACAGGUGGCAUCGCAUGGGCGGUUUGGCUCUUGGUGGUGCGAUUUGUGUACCAGAAUCAAGAAUUGCAGGACAACUUUACAAUGAUACUUCUUUUGAUCCUUUCUCUCGUGCCGGCAGGAUUCUUUUGGUGCUUAACACAUGAAGAUAUGCAGACACCUACUCCGUCCUAG